AAACAACUUAAUCUUCCAAGGAUAAGCUCAUGGAAGUUUUAGAAUACCUUAGCGAAAAUAGUUUAGUUUACUCAAUUGAUGAGGUUCACUACAAGUCAGCUGUCAAUGCAUGACGUCUACAUGUGCAAAUAAUGCCAAUCAAGAUGGUUUAAGCUUGAACUAUGCCAUGCUGCAUCUCAUCACCAUUGCUGAGCAAGUUUUUUGCAAUUUUUUUUGGGUGGUAUGAUGUCGUGCUUGAAAUAUAGCUAUAAGAUGUGGCCUGGUGUAUCUCUAUAAGUCAAAUAGCGUUGUUUUAAUAAACAGCAUUGCGACAUGAUUUCUGCAUAAUAUGUGAUCAUCUGUCACUCCACGUAAUAUCCAGAAGGAUUUGUUGACGUUGUGUACAGAAUGCUUUAUGUUUUUGGAUGGAAACAAUGUCAGCAGAAUUUGACAUUCUGAUUUGUACAA